rnacentral:snRNA from 1 species
GGGUGAUGUGGCUGUGACAUAUGUUACCUCGCUGAUUACCAGGUUGAUUGAGCUGAUCUGGCUGGCUAGAUGGGUGUCCAUUUCCCUCCUCACUGCUCCAUGUGCAUCCCUCCUGAAGCACGCUAGGUCGAAGAGGACAACCACACCCAACAAAGGAUAUUUCCUUGGUCAAGGGUGUAUGAGUAGCUGUACUCCCCUGCUAGAACCUCCAAACUAUCAUAUCAAUAACUAUUAUCAUAUUGCCAUUAAGAAGUUGUUGGCAUUUCCACUUGUGUUCCUGAGU